CAGAGUUAAGGAGGCAGAGCCCCGAUGCACACCUUGCUGGGCCAAAGCUGCAGAAGGCUUCCGCACCUCCAGCCCACAGGGACCAGCCACUGACCCUGGACAAGCCAGCCCUGGCUACCUGCACUCAGGAAUAGGAGUCGGAUGCCCUUGUCACAGAGACAGCUCUUCUCAUUUCUCUCACAAAACCCACUGACAUCCAGAUGAAGCAGGGUCUCAUAUGGCCUCGGCUGGCUACAAACUCACUGUGUACGUGAGGACGGCCGUAAGUCUGAUCUUACUUCUGGGGUCCUGGAAUCGCAGGUACACACCACCACUCCUCGCUUGGUUCUUUUCAUCUGCUGUGAAUUUCUCCUCAAUUGAAAAGAAGAUAAGCCCAGCCCACCCUCUCUCCCCAGUGACCUCCAUACUAAGCUGACUGUCCAGACCUGGACACAGACGCCAGGAACUUUGAGAGCCCUGCUGCUGAUUUCUUGGGUGCAUGUCCCAAGAUGCUGUAAGUGAACUCAGUUUCCUUUAUUCAACACUGUGUACUGCUGGAACAUCCUGUGAAGUGGACAGACGAUCGUCCUCCUCUUCUCAGGAACACUCCGGAAUCCAUGACCAUGUUAUACUGAGUAGUCGUUAAUCUUCCUUGUUAACUUAAUGGGAUUUAGAGUCACAUGGAAACACGUCCCUGGGUGUGUCUGUGAGGGUGUGAGGACGUUUCCAGAAAGAUUUAACUGAGGUGGAGACCCAUCCUGAAUGUGGGCAGCUCCAUCCCUUGGACUGGGGUUCUGUACUGAAGAAAAAGGAGAAAUGGAGCUGUGCAGCAGCCUUUAUCUCUCGGCUUCCUGACCGCAGAUGCAACUCAAACUGCCCUUCUACCACCGCGAUGAACUGUACCCUCAAAUGAUGAGGCAAAACAAACCUUCCUUUCCCUAAAUUCCUUAUUGUCAGGGAUGUGGGCACAGUAAUAAGAAAGGUAACUCAGAUGCCUUUAUGGCAGGAGGGUUCGGGGGGGCUGAGGUGGAGACGGUCCUGGGUCAUCUGGGGCCAAUGCCCUCACAGGGUCCUUAUUGGGGGGAGGACAGUUAGCAAUAUGGGGAGUACUGGCUUUGUAUGGAAGGGCCCAGGAGCAGAGGGUCGUACAGCUCUAGAAGCUGGAGAAGGAGGGGCAUGGACUCCCUGCAUCCCACAGAAGGACUCAGCCAGCAUCAGAGUCCUUCAACUUCCAGCCUGUAAGAAAGUGAACUAAAAAUCAA